GACCCUUUGCGACCCCAUGGACUAUACAGUCCAUGAAUUCUCCAGGCCAGAAUACUGGAUGGGUUGCCAUUUCCUUCUCCAGGUGAUCUUCCGCACCCAAGGAUCAAACCCAGGUCUGCUGAGUUGCAGGCUGAUUGUUUACCAUCUGAGUCACCAGGGAAG